rnacentral:sRNA from 1 species
UGACUGAUUUGGAAAUUUCCUUUGUGA